rnacentral:rRNA from 1 species
UACGUAGGGUGCAAGCGUUGUCCGGAAUUAUUGGGCGUAAAGAGCUCGUAGGCGGUUCGUCGCGUCGGCUGUGAAAACCCGGAGCUCAACUCCGGGCCUGCAGUCGAUACGGGCGGACUUGAGUGUUGCAGGGGGAGACUGGAAUUCCUGGUGUAGCGGUGAAAUGCGCAGAUAUCAGGAGGAACACCGGUGGCGAAGGCGGGUCUCUGGGCAACUACUGACGCUGAGGAGCGAAAGCGUGGGGAGCAAACAGG